rnacentral:rRNA from 1 species
GACGGAGGAUGCAAGUGUUAUCCGGAAUCACUGGGCGUAAAGCGUCUGUAGGUCGUUUAAAAAGUCUACUGUUAAAAAUUGAAGCUUAACUUCAAAGGUGCCGUAGAAACUUUUAAACUUGAGUAUGGUAGGGGUAGAGGGAAUUUCCAGUGGAGCGGUGAAAUGCGUAGAGAUCGGAAAGAACACCAACGGCGAAAGCACUCUGCUGGGCCGACACUGACACUGAGAGACGAAAGCUAGGGGAGCGAAUGGG